UACAGAGGUCUCAAGCGUUGUUCGGAAUCACUGGGCGUAAAGCGCACGUAGGCGGCUUUUUAAGUCAGGGGUGAAAUCCUGGAGCUCAACUCCAGAACUGCCUUUGAUACUGGGAAGCUUGAGUCCGGAAGAGGUGAGUGGAACUCCGAGUGUAGAGGUGAAAUUCGUAGAUAUUCGGAAGAACACCAGUGGCGAAGGCGGCUCACUGGUCCGGUACUGACGCUGAGGUGCGAAAGCGUGGGGAGCAAACAGG
rnacentral:rRNA from 1 species